UGGACCUUUCCUGACGCUGAGGAGCGAAAGCGUGGGGAGCGAACAUGCUUAGAUACCCUGGUAGUACACGCUGUAAACGGUGGGUACUAGGUGUGGGGGUCCAUUCCACGGAUUCCGUGCCGUAGCUAACGCAUUAAGUACCUCGCCUGGGGAGUACGGCCGCAAGGCUAAAACUCAAAGGAAUUGACGGGGCCCCGCACAAGCGGCGGAGCAUGCGGAUUAAUUCGAUGCAACGCGAAGAACCUUACCUGGGUUUGACAUGGACUGGGAGUGCUCAGAGAUGGGUACGCCUCCUUGUUGGGCUGGUUUCACAGGUGGUGCAUGGCUGUCGUCAGCUCGUGUCGUGAGAUGUUGGGUUAAGUUCCGCAACGAGCGCAACCCUCGUUCACUGUUGCCAGCACGUUAUGGUGGGGACUCAGUGGAGACCACCGGGGUCAACUCGGAGGAAGGUGGGGAUGACGUCAAGUCAUCAUGCCCCUUAUGUCCAGGGCUUCACGCAUGCUACAAUGGCCGGUACAAAGAGUUGCGAGCCUGUGAGGGUGAGCGAAUCUCGGAAAGCCGGUCUCAGUUCGGAUUGGGGUAGGCAACUCGACCCUAUGAAGUCGGAGUCGCUAGUAAUCGCAAAUCCCCACGGCUGCGGUGAAUUCGUUCCCGGGGCAGGUACACACCGCCCGUCAACUCAAGAAAGUCGGUAACACCCGAAACCGGUGGCCUAACCUGUGUGGCCGA
rnacentral:rRNA from 1 species